UUAUUUCAAUUCCAGUUAGUUAACACAUCAUGUAAUAUUAGUUUCAGGAGUAAAAUUUAUAGUAGCUGCUUUCAAGUCUUUGUCAGAUAAUUUCAGCAUGUGUGUCACCUUGGGGUGACAUCUGUGUUUUCUUUUCACAUGUGAGUUUAGAUUUUCCUGGUUCUUUGUAUAUUGGGUAGAUUUGGGUGGUAUUCUGGAUGUUUUGAGUACUAUGAAACUGUACAUAUUAUUUUAGUCCAAGGGAGAGUGUUGACUUUUUGUUUUAGCAGACAAUCAGCCCAGUUGGGUUUAGGCUGCACAUUUUUACCAAUCCUCUGUUGGAUGUGACUUAAAUAUUCUUCCAUUUUCAAAGACUUUUUAGUGCUAUUCAUAUCCAUCUCACAUGUGCAUCACCCAGUGGCCAGUUCUAGGUCCUUCGUGGUGGUGUAUAUCUUGGUUCAGUCCUUAAAGUCUUUAGUUUGCUGUUUAGGAUUAGAUCCACCCAUGUCCAGCUCAAGGUGAGUCUCAGUGGUCAUAAGUUACCUUAUGGAAUCCGUUUCCUGUGUUCUUCCCUCUCAGGGACCUUCCUGGUGCUUUCCAGUUCUUUGGAGACAUUCUUUUAGUCUCCAGGCAGAGACUUUCAGUCAGAAACUUAGGACUUUAUUUACCACGCACUGCCAUGCACUCCCAUGAAUGCACUCGUGUCUGGGGCCAACAGGUGGAAGGACAGGGAAAGGAAAAAAGCAACAGAGGCUCCCCCCAUUCCUUUGGGACCACAGCUCCUCCAAUCAGGAAAGAAGUUCCUCCUUCUGGAGAGUUUUAGAUGCUUGCUCUUCCAAGUGCUGCUGCUGUCGGUGCCAGUAGACUUCUUUCCCCCUCACUGAGCUGAACUAGUGGCCUCUUCUGGGGCUCUCUCUUCCCACUUUGAUGCCUGCUUUUCCCAGUGUUUCCUCCAAGUCCUGGCCGGAGCUACUGGAGAAAAACAAUGGUAAACACUGUCAUACUUUGGAGUUUGGUCCAUUUUCCUAAUCUACCUGCUACUUUUCAAAGUCUUUAAAUAGCUGCAUUCUGUCCAGAUUUUAUAGCUGCAUUCAGUGGGAGAGACAGGGUGGUGAGUGUUACUCCAUUUUACCCAGAACUGAACCCUCUUAUGGUUUGUUUUUAUAUUCUGAGCAUAGUGACCCAUGUAAGUAACAGUUUCUCUUUCCUUGCCUUUCAGAACCUUUAGUGCCAAGUUUUGGCUAAGCUACACCCUCUCUUCCUUUACUCUGUGGUUUUUUGAAUCCCGAGCCACUAAGUCAUGUCUCAAACGUUUUUGAGAACGUUUUAGGGAAUCUAGUCCGCCGUGAGAACAGGACCUUGAUGGGGCUAUGCUCUCAGCUCGUGUCAUGUCCCAGAAUGAGAGCGCACACAGAACAAAGACAGGCAGCGUCCCAGCUGACCUCCAGACUCAUACGUGAGAAAUAAAUACUUGUUGUCAGGGUCAGAAACUUCAUGGGCAGAGCUUGAAAGGUAAGAGGCACUUGUGGAAAACAACUGAUGAAAGACCAAAGAAGACAAUGGGCUCGAGGAUUUCACCAUAGGAAUCCCUGGGGCCCCUGGCACUUCCAGCCUGGACCUCCUGGGGCAGAUGGACAGAUGGACAGAUGGACAACUGCUGGGUUAAGUCCAGGCUGAAUAUAUACUUUGAAGUGGCACACUAAUUUUUUUCUGAUUUUUCUGAUAUUUUUUUUUUGUCAUUCCAGCUGAAUCUAGAAGUAGCCAAGUAUAAUUCACAAAGGCAUAUACAAAUACAGCCUACACUUCAGGUGGAUUUGAUCGAGGAAUCACAUGGCUUAAGUUAACUGAAAUUCUGAUAAGCUGGAUGACCUUGAGCAAAUCAUUGAUUUCUUUUCUCAUUCUCAUUUUUAUUACCCAUAAAAAGGAAGGGGGAUAAGGGUGGAUAAGAGUUGGAUUACUCAUUUUCUUUUUUUUUUUCUAAUUUGUUUUAAUAUUUAUUUAUUUUUGAAAGAGAGAGAUA